GAGUUUGAUCAUGGCUCAGGAUGAACGCUAGCGGCAGGCUUAACACAUGCAAGUCGAGGGGUAUAGGUUUUCGGACCUAGAGACCGGCGCACGGGUGCGUAACGCGUAUGCAAUCUACCUUUUACAGAGGGAUAGCCCAGAGAAAUUUGGAUUAAUACCUCAUAGUAUUAUGAUAAGGCAUCUUAUUAUAAUUAAAGUUCCAACGGUAAAGAUGAGCAUGCGUCCCAUUAGCUAGAUGGUAAGGUAACGGCUUACCAUGGCGACGAUGGGUAGGGGUCCUGAGAGGGAGAUCCCCCACACUGGUACUGAGACACGGACCAGACUCCUACGGGAGGCAGCAGUGAGGAAUAUUGGUCAAUGGGCGCAAGCCUGAACCAGCCAUGCCGCGUGCAGGAUGACGGUCCUAUGGAUUGUAAACUGCUUUUGUACAGGAAGAAACAGUUCUACGUGUAGAACCUUGACGGUACUGUAAGAAUAAGGAUCGGCUAACUCCGUGCCAGCAGCCGCAGUAA
rnacentral:rRNA from 1 species